rfam:Oryzias latipes DNA, chromosome1, strain: Hd-rR.
CAAACGGCUCUUUUCAGAGCCACACACCUGAUCUGACGAGUCUCAU